ensembl:lncRNA
UAUGCCCUCUAGUGUUCAACGCAAGGAAAGGCAUUUCUGCGUUUCUUAAGACGCUAGCAAUAACAAUGACCAAUAGCAUUUAACUAAUUCGUGUCGGUGUCAUCGUGGAAUAAACGCAACGGUGAAGCAACCUCUAUUUAUAUGUAAAAUGAGUGACAAUAGAAUAGAGGGGAACCACGGCAGUAGAGUGGGAGGGAGAUACAUUUAAAGGAAAAAUAAAUAAGUUUUCAUAUCAAACUGAUGAAGAUGGUCUGUAUUUAUAAAGAUUAGGUAUUGGUUAAAGCACAGUGCUUAUGCCGAUAGUGAACGCCAAUUAAACAUCUAUGGAAUAUGCAACAGGUUGCCUGAUUACGCAAAUUCUCUCUUCAAAAUGUGUUUAAUGAACUCUCACUUUUAUGUAUCUUCGAUAACAUUACUCAGAUUAACAAUGUGUUAAAAUAGCUAAACUAGUUCCCAAUUUAAUUAUACAAUUACACAGUUUGGCGAUGAACAUAACCUAGUCAACCAACUGAAUUGAAGUCUGGGAACCCCAGAAUUGACCAUAGACAUUACAAAACACAGCUGACCAUAGACUUAAAGAACACAGCUAGAACGUCUUAGGAUAGACAAAUGAACAUAGACAUAUAAAGGUAUAUAAGUCUAUGCAAAUGAACCCCAGAGCUAACCAUAGACAUUACAAAACACAGCUGACCAUAGACGUUAAAGAACACAGCUAGAACAUCUUAGGAUAGAAAAAUGUUCAAAUGAAGACGAAACGAAGGAGGAGCCUAUAAACCUGCCAGAGAUGUAGGCGUUCAUUUCACACUGGGUGUCGUUUUCUUUUAGGUGGUUGGGUCUGAGUAUCGAGGGCUUGUUAAGAAGGACCUGCAUGACAAUCACACAACGGUCUACCGAGGCGCUAACCAUUCGUACGAGGUGGGGAAGGAGUUCUCCCUGCUCCUGCCCGAGACCGCGCUGACGGACUGCGGGACUUACCAGUGCACUCUCUGGCCACCUCUGGGCCAUUUAAUUCAGGAGGGGAAAUACGACUACUACCCAGCAGGUUGUGUCAGGCCCGCUGAGGCCUUACCCAUGAUUCACCUUCCUGCCGCUCACCCCAGCAGUGAUGUCAGAGGGAACCUGGAGUCUUGGGGAGUUCCUGCAGCUGUCGUCAUUUUCAUUGUUGUCUUUGGAAGUGUGUUCUGUGUCUACCGAAGAGAAAAAAACUCAAAAUUGUCAGACACCAUUUGAAGUAAUCUGUAACUAAAUAAAGUAUCUCUACUCUCUGUCUCUGGUUCUCUU